rnacentral:tRNA from 1 species
AAGGAUUUAGUUUAGUUUAAAAUAUUAGAUUGUAAAUCUAAAGUUAUAAUUCUUGG